GGGGGAAGGCGGCCUGGAAAUGGCCCUCAGAGAGCUCCUCUUAACUGAGCAACUGCGAGGCAAAGCCUCCCUUCCCCAGGGGUUUCAGAAAAAGUCCCGGGCACAUUCUCAUUGGACCAGCUUGGGUCACAUGGCCAUGCCUGAGCCAAUCCCAGGACCACAGUAUGAAAUAUGCUGAUUGGGAGGCGUGGCUUCCCACCUGUGAAUCACGUGCACCAAGUAGGGGUGACCUGGCAGAGAAAUACAGAGACAGGCAGGUGAGUCCUGGACGGACCCUAGGGACAUCUGUUGUCCCCCUCAGGACCACAUAGCAGAGCAUGAUACGGUGCCUGUCCACAGCCCAGGGACCCUUUUCAGCGGGUGGCAGAGCUGGCUAUCCGGGGAGGGGGCAGAAGUUCCAGUCUGGUGCACCGAGAGCGCCAUCCCCUCACUGCAGCCCCGCCCAGAGCCCCAGGGCUGAGGCCAGACUUAACCGCUGGGACCCAGGCCUGCCCUGGGGCCACCUCCCAGGCCAGGCUCUGUUCCUCACUGGGGCACUGUCCCUGGGGGAGGCGGACACAAGGGCCCUUGUUGUUCCUGGAGGAGGAGGCGGCGGGGAGAGCUGUGCAGUCACUGUGGGCUGAGCCAGCACUCUCCAUCCUCCCCAGUCACUCCCAGGAUGGCCAGAUCCCUCCCAGGCCUGGAAACUGCUCCUCAGCCUCUCCCCGGGGCAGGGGAGAGGGGGUCAGGGCUCCCCUGGACAGGGAGGCCCAGCAUGGCCAUUCCCGCUCACGUGCCCACUGCACGAUUAACGCGCAUUGCAGCAAUUUCCAGGCUGGCGCUCACGAACGGUGCCGCUAAGAGCACUUUCUGGUGAACACACAUGCCCCUGUCUGUGGUGCAGACACCCCGGAGUGGAACUGCUGGGUCGGGAUGAGAAAACAACCACCACGGGCUGCAGGUGCUGAUCCUCAAGCCUGUGAUGGGCCAAGAAGCCCAGGGACUCUGCAGGGAAACGCAGGGCCCAUGGCCCUGGCCUUGGCAUUGAACCACGCACUUUUGCCCAGGUGGGUUAACACCCAGGGAGGCAGAGGGUUAGGACAGAGGGUCCCGGCACUCACUCCCGGGGCCUCGGGAGGUGACGGGGGCAUCACCCCACUCUACUCCCUGUGUCCCUCCUGGGUCUGGGCUGAGGACCCCGGGAUGUCCAUGGGGCUCAGACCCCAGCACGGUGGCCAGGAGCUGACUGACCAGCAGCAGGGCCAGCAGCAGUGCCAGCAGCAGUGCCAGAUCAGAUGGCA
rnacentral:lncRNA from 10 species